UACAGAGGGUGCGAGCGUUGUUCGGAAUUACUGGGCGUAAAGCGCGCGCAGGCGGCCUUUUAAGUCUACCCGUGAAAUGCCGGGGCUCAACUCCGUGCACGCCGGGGGAUACUGGGAGGCUGGAGACAUGUAGAGGCAAGCGGAAUUCCGGGUGUAGCGGUGGAAUGCGUAGAGAUCCGGAAGAACACCUGAGGCGAAGGCGGCUUGCUGGGCAUGAUCUGACGCUGAGGAGCGAAAGCCAGGGGAGCAAACGGG
rnacentral:rRNA from 1 species